UACGUAGGGGGCUAGCGUUGUCCGGAUUUAUUGGGCGUAAAGAGCGUGUAGGCGGCCUGGUAGGUCUGCUGUGAAAACUCGAGGCUCAACCUCGAGAUGUCGGCGGAAACCAUCUGGCUAGAGUCCGGAAGAGGAGAGUGGAAUUCCUGGUGUAGCGGUGAAAUGCGCAGAUAUCAGGAAGAACACCGGUGGCGAAGGCGGCGUUCUGGACUGCUACUGACACUGAGGAACGAAAGCCAGGGGAGCAAACGGG
rnacentral:rRNA from 1 species